GUUAAGAUGGCAGAGUCCGGUAAUUGCAAGAGACCUAAGCCCUUUUCACCAGAGGUUCAACUCCUCUUCUUAACU
rnacentral:tRNA from 1 species